CCCUGGGUGAUGCAAAUGGUUAACAUGUUUGGCUGCUUACCAAAAGAUUGGUAGUUCAAAUCCACCCAGAGGCA
rnacentral:tRNA from 1 species